GUCCACACCGUAAACGAUGAUUACUAGGUGUUGGGAGAUUGACCCUCUCAGUGCCGCAGUUAACACAAUAAGUAAUCCACCUGGGGAGUACGACCGCAAGGUUGAAACUCAAAGGAAUAGACGGGGACCCGCACAAGCGGUGGAGCAUGUGGUUUAAUUCGACGAUACACGAAGAACCUUACCUGGACUUGACAUAGUAAGAACUUUCUAGAGAUAGAUUGGUGUCUGCUUGCAGAAACUUAUAUACAGGUGCUGCACGGCUGUCGU
rnacentral:rRNA from 1 species